AAUAAUAAUAAUAAUAAUAAUAAUCUUAACACUAUAUAGCCUUAUUGGAUUAUCAAAUCAUCAAAUCCAUUUAGAAGUAGUAAACAGGUGACACAUGAGUGGAAGAGAUUGGUGUCAGGUGUUGUGGCAGAGUGGCGGGGCGGGCCUGACCUGCGGGAGCCAACACCAAAGCGGUCUGGGCAAGCUGGUUUUAUUAUAGUAAAUAAUUUGCAUGGCAUUAAAUGCUGAAGCAGUUGAAAAAGAAAAAGGAGGAGACUUCAUGGUGAGUACUCAGCAGUAAAGGGAGAUUUCAAUGACCACAUAUUUAUAAGAAGAUUAUGUAAAUUACAGAAAAGUUUAAAGCAUGAUUACUGCCUGUUUUCAGGGACAGAAAUGCUUCAUUAGGUAUAGUUUGUGGGUAAACUGGCUCUGUGUUUUAGUGGGUCGAGAGGCUUUUGGUGGGCAAGCAAAAUAUUCAGGGAAAUCUGUUAUUCGUGGGGGUCCAUGUCCCAAAAAAUAGAGGGGGCAGGUGCAUACAGGCAAAAUAAAAAUUGUGAAUAAAUUCCUGAGCAUCAUCUGCUGAGACAUCUCAAGGUCAGAGGAGCUCUUUUCAAUGUUGGCAAAUAUGAGAAAUCUGCAAUUUCAAAAUGCAACUUUGAUUUUUUAAAUGAAGUAUACGUACUAGGAUAUCAGUACUGUUGUUGCAGACUGAUUUACUGGUUGAUAAAUACAAAACAUUAUAAGUACUAUGCACUGAAGAGAUACAAGUUUCAAAUCAAUUGUGCUGAGAUUUCAUACCUGUUGAUAAAACCAUUAAACAAGAAGAUGAAGUUACAUACAAAACACUCUUUGCAUGGUGACAAGGAGCAUUGUGCAAGGCCUCGUAACCAUUGCUGCCACACGGGUGAGCAAGCAGCAGGGAGCCUUGUGACCACUCCUCCCAGGGUGACCAAGAGGCAGGUGAGGUUGCAAAAUAAUUUCUACUUAAUACCCAGGUGAUGAAGAAGCAGGUAUUUAAGAUCUAAUAUAAAAAUACCCCUUACAAGUGAUGAGAAGCAAAUAAGAUCCCAGAACCAGUCCUCCUUCUUUGGAGUGAUAUUGAAUUUAUUGUAGUCAUCUCAUAUCAGGUUAUACUUACAUCACGUGUUUCUCUGUGUUCUCUGAGUGCAGUGCAGUAACUAAUAUCUGACAGAAGAUUAAGAAAACCUCAAUAUAAAGAUGUAAAAUGUUUAUGCGAAGUCUGGCACAUCGCAUUUUGGCAGUGGGGCAAAGAUCAGGUUAGGUUAGGUUAGAUUUAGUUAAGUUAGGCCAGGUUAUGCUAGGUUAGAUUUAGUUAAGUUAGGCCAGGUUAUGCUAGGUUAGAUUUAGUUAAGUUAGGCCAGGUUAGGUUAGGUUAGAUUUAGUUAAGUUAGGCCAGGUUAGGUUAGGUUAGAUUUAGUUAAGUUAGGCCAGGUUAUGCUAGGUUAGAUUUAGUUAAGUUAGGCCAGGUUAGGUUAGGUUAGAUUUAGUUAAGUUAGGCCAGGUUAUGCUAGGUUAGAUUUAGUUAAGUUAGGCCAGGUUAUGCUAGGUUAGAUUUAGUUAAGUUAGGCCAGGUUAUGCUAGGUUAGAUUUAGUUAAGUUAGGCCAGGUUAGGUUAGGUUAGAUUUAGUUAAGUUAGGCCAGGUUAGGUUAGGUUAGAUUUAGUUAAGUUAGGCCAGGUUAGGUUAGGUUAGAUUUAGUUAAGUUAGGCCAGGUUAGGUUAGGUUAGAUUUAGUUAAGUUAGGCCAAGAUAUGUUAGGUUAGAUUCAGUUAAGUUAGGCCAGGUUAGGUUAGAUGUGGUCUAAUUUUUUGCGAUAUAUGCGUGCUAUGCUAAGCGCUGCACUGAUGCUGUCGCUGGCGGCCGAGUAGGCUACAACAACGUCAAUACUCUCACCUCUUUCCCCAGAUAACCAAGCAACAGGGGGGUGAAGGUCUCAUGAACAAUCCCAACAUACGAUAAAAAAACAUGAAAGGCAUCACCAUUACUCUUUUCUUCUUCUUCCUAUUAACGUUACUGUCAUUGUCAAUUUUCAUAUCCAUAUUUGCUCAUUGAGGGGACUGGUUUUGGGUCAAUAAUGAUAAUAAUAAUAGAACCUUCCCCGGUGGACAUGGCAACACCCUCUUCCCCGGUGAGAGCAAG